rnacentral:tRNA from 1 species
GGAGCAUUAGCUUAACAGGUAAAGCUAGGCAACUGACGUGCGACCAAUCAGUUCGUGAGUCAAUUGCCAAGUUGUAGGUUCGAGUCCUGCAUGCUCCUUCA